UACGUAGGGGGCGAGCGUUGUCCGGAAUCAUUGGGCGUAAAGCGCACGUAGGCGGCCCGGUAAGUCCGUUGUGAAAGUCAGAGGCUCAACCUCUGGAGGCCAAUGGAUACUGCCGGGCUAGAGUCCGGAAGAGGCGAGUGGAAUUCCUGGUGUAGCGGUGGAAUGCGCAGAUAUCAGGAGGAACACCAAUGGCGAAGGCAGCUCGCUGGGACGGUACUGACGCUGAGGUGCGAAAGCGUGGGGAGCGAACAGG
rnacentral:rRNA from 1 species